CGGAGUGUAGCGCAGCCCGGUAGCGCACUUGACUGGGGGUCAAGGGGUCGUCGGUUCGAAUCCGGCCACUCCGA
rfam:Aminobacter sp. Root100 contig_11, whole genome shotgun sequence.